rnacentral:rRNA from 1 species
UACAGAGGGUGCGAGCGUUGUUCGGAAUUACUGGGCGUAAAGCGCGCGCAGGCGGCCCUUUAAGUCUACCCGUGAAAUGCCGGAGCUCAACUCCGUGCUCGCCGGGGGAUACUGGAGGGCUGGAGACGAGUAGAGGCAAGCGGAAUUCCGGGUGUAGCGGUGGAAUGCGUAGAGAUCCGGAAGAACACCGGAGGCGAAGGCGGCUUGCUGGGCUUGGUCUGACGCUGAGGCGCGAAAGCGUGGGGAGCGAACAGG